rnacentral:tRNA from 1 species
GCAUCCGUAGCUCAGCUGGAUAGUGUACUCUGCUACGAACGGAGAGGUCUUACCUUGGAUUGCUCCGGGAUGCACCA